CCUACGGGAGGCUGCAGUGAGGAAUAUUGGUCAAUGGACGAGAGUCUGAACCAGCCAAGUAGCGUGAAGGAUGACUGCCCUAUGGGUUGUAAACUUCUUUUAUCUGGGAAUAAACUGUUCCACGUGUGGGAUUUUGUAUGUACCAUAUGAAUAAGGAUCGGCUAACUCCGUGCCAGCCGCCGCGGUUAUACGGAGGAUCCGAGCGUUAUCCGGAUUUAUUGGGUUUAAAGGGAGCGUAGGUGGAUUGUUAAGUCAGGUGUGAAAGUUUCAGGCUCAACCGUAAAAUUGCAGUUGAAACUGGCAGUCUUGAGUACAGGAGAGGUAGGCGGAAUGCGUGGUGUAGCGGUGAAAUGCUUAGAUAUCACGAAGAACGCCGAUUGCGAAGGCAGCUCACUGGACUGCAACUGACACUGAGGCUCGAAAGUGUGGGUAUCAAACAGGAUUAGAUACCCCUGUAGUC
rnacentral:rRNA from 1 species